rnacentral:rRNA from 1 species
UACGUAGGGCGCAAGCGUUGUCCGGAAUUAUUGGGCGUAAAGAGCUCGUAGGCGGUUUGUCGCGUCUGCUGUGAAAUCCCGAGGCUCAACCUCGGGCUUGCAGUGGGUACGGGCAGACUAGAGUGCGGUAGGGGAGACUGGAAUUCCUGGUGUAGCGGUGGAAUGCGCAGAUAUCAGGAGGAACACCAAUAGCGAAGGCAGCUCGCUGGGACGGUACUGACGCUGGAGGCGACGAAAGCGUGGGGAGCGAACAGG